CUGGAAGGCAGGGACUGCAACUCUGUUCCUCUCUGUCCCCAUCGCCCAACAUGAAGCCUGAGCACAGCGGAUAUUUACUAAAUGAAUGGAGCUCUCCUGUCUAAAAGAGGAGUGAAAGAAAUUACAUCCAUGCAAACUGACUCACACUGCAGCUGCUGUCUGCAAGGAAAAAAAGGUGGAAAAAUAAGGCGCUGUCACUGAGCACUAAUAAGCUCAAUGGGAAAGAGUGAUAUCUUCCCUUGCAGAGCUUCUUAACAAUCUAGAAGAGCUGCCAGGAACCUAAGAGCACAGUCCAGAGCCUGCCUCUCAGACACAGGUUCCCACAGCAGCAGCACCCUUAGGAUCCUGUGAGCCUCGGACUGCACCGAGGAAGCAUGGUUCUGGAGAGGGGACGGGAUUUACCCAGGGCCGCCUACAGGAGCUGCAGUCUGAUCUCGCACUCCUGCCCAGGCUCUGGGAAUGCAGCCUGCAUUCUCACACAUACUCCUUAGUGGGCACAGACAAAGCAAAAGCAAAAACAGUCUCACAGUCUAACCUAUCUGCUCACAUGCACCUUACAAAUAUAUGUGAGAGGAGACAGAGAUUGUGUCUUUCGUGAACUGUGACUCACAUGGUCCUGAGGUCCCACAAACAGGCAUUAAGGUAACUGAAGAGCUUUUACUGCACCAAGCAGAUGACAAAACCAGCAGCAUGAGUUGAACUGACCAGUGCAUGGUAGCUCUCUCAGAGCCAGACACACUUUGCUGCACCUGUUGUGUGCAGAACUCUCCACAAGGCAGCCCAGAACAGGGAAGAGAACCCUGGAGCUGAACUGUGGCUCCUCCACUCACUACUUGUGUAAUAUUCUGAAUUCUAACCGCUCUAAGCCUGUUUCCUCAUCUAUACAAAAGACUGCACCGCCCAUUUCACAAAGCUGUGCCCACGUGGGGUGGCAUAUGUACCUGGCGUACAGCAAAGGUCAAAUGGUUUUGUUCAUUCCUGAGCAAGCAAAAUAAUUUAUGUAUACCGUAGAAAAAGGAAUGGAAAAAACAGCUACGCCCAAACUCUUGUAAAAUCUUAGUAUGAUAAAAUAGCAUCUUUUGAGGACGUACUAAAGCAUAAAGAAAUUCUGUAAGAAAUUUUUAGCGGCU
rnacentral:lncRNA from 1 species